CAUUCCUGAGAGGUUGAAUACAUUUGGUAGUGAGUACUGCCCGUAUCAGUGUUGUAGCUGAGGAAAUCAAAUCAAAGAAUUGGGGUAGAGACCAACAUUUGGAACAGUGACCCCUUUGUUUCAGCCUAGGAGACUAUCUUUUGAAAUAACAGAAGCCAUCUCUGAUUUUUGAAAGUACAAGCUGAAGAACUGAAAAGAUGAGAACUCCUUCAUUGCCUGGGAGUUAGAAUCAGAGAUAAUGACACAACUGGAAAACCAAGAGGAAAACAUAUGAGACUGAUAUUCUCAAAGUAUAAUCUUGAAAAAGAAAUGAGUCAAGCACAUGCAUGGUCAGGCAAUGUAC
rnacentral:lncRNA from 1 species